rnacentral:rRNA from 1 species
CACCUACGGGUGGCAGCAGUGGGGAAUUUUGGACAAUGGGCGCAAGCCUGAUCCAGCCAUGCCGCGUGCAGGAUGAAGGCCUUCGGGUUGUAAACUGCUUUUGUACGGAACGAAAAGGUUUCUUUUAAUACAGGGAACUGAUGACGGUACCGUAAGAAUAAGCACCGGCUAACUACGUGCCAGCAGCCGCGGUAAUACGUAGGGUGCGAGCGUUAAUCGGAAUUACUGGGCGUAAAGCGUGCGCAGGCGGCGAUGUAAGACAGAGGUGAAAUCCCCGGGCUCAACCUGGGAACUGCCUUUGUGACUGCAUCGCUGGAGUGCGGCAGAGGGGGAUGGAAUUCCGCGUGUAGCAGUGAAAUGCGUAGAUAUGCGGAGGAACACCGAUGGCGAAGGCAAUCCCCUGGGCCUGCACUGACGCUCAUGCACGAAAGCGUGGGGAGCAAACAGGAUUAGAUACCCUGGUAGUCCACGCCCUAAACGAUGUCAACUGGUUGUUGGGAAUUAGUUUUCUCAGUAACGAAGCUAACGCGUGAAGUGACCGCC